rnacentral:rRNA from 1 species
AACUUUCAACAACGGAUCUCUUGGUUUCCCACAUCGAUGAAGAACGCAGCGAAAUGCGAUAAGUAAUGUGAAUUGCAGAAUUCAGUGAAUCAUCGAAUCUUUGAACGCACAUUGCGCCCUCUGGUAUUCCGGAGGGCAUGCCUGUUCGAGCGUCAU